CUGCCGGUGAUAAACCGGAGGAAGGUGGGGAUGACGUCAAGUCAUCAUGGCCCUUACGAGUAGGGCUACACACGUGCUACAAUGGCAGAUACAAAGAGAAGCGACCUCGCGAGAGCAAGCGGAACUCAUAAAGUCUGUCGUAGUCCGGAUUGGAGUCUGCAACUCGACUCCAUGAAGUCGGAAUCGCUAGUAAUCGUAGAUCAGAAUGCUACGGUGAAUACGUUCCCGGGCCUUGUACACACCGCCCGUCACACCAUGGGAGUGGGUUGCAAAAGAAGUAGGUAGCUUAACCUUCGGGAGGGCGCUUACCACUUUGUGAUUCAUGACUGGGGUGAAGUCGUAACAAGGUAACCG
rnacentral:rRNA from 1 species